GGCUGGCCUGAAGGUAGUGAGUUAUCUCAAUUGAUGGUUCAUAGUCAAUAACCCUUUCUCCCUUCUCACUGCUGUGCUUGACUUAUCUACA
rnacentral:Y_RNA from 1 species